rnacentral:lncRNA from 1 species
AAUUCACGAUUCCUCUCCUUAGCCAAACAAAAUGAACUAAGGUGUCCUUAGAGGAUCAAUUGUGACAUGGUUUCAUAAUCACUAAGAUAAUCAUAAAACAAGAUACUCAAGUACUCUCCCAUCUCUUCAGAUUAGAGAAACUUUUAUCUUUCUGCCUUAUUUGAUUCUUCUUACUCAUUAUGUCUAUCAUUGAAACUUCUCCAAUGAUCCAGAACUAUACUUAAACUUGUAAGUAUAACCAUAUUUACUAAACUUUAGUAAAUCAUAAUGAAUAAUCUUAUCAACUUUGUGGUGGACCUGAUCAGCGCACACCCAAGUGUAUCCGAUCCCUUUGUCCUUCACUUGAUUCACAUAUACAUGUGAACAAGGAAUUAGACUUAAUUUCCCAAAUAUAUAAAAAAAAUUCUCAUGAUCAUACAAUACAAGUUGCAUGAUUCCAAGUUUCUAUCCAACUGAAACUUGGGUGAUGAGAAUCUUUCCUUAUUUGGUAAAUUAUGACACUUCCACUAAUGAAAGAAUCAAAUCCAUUUACCCAUAUUGCUUAUCAAUGGAAACAUAUAAUCAACAAUUUUUCACAAAUGCCAUUGUAAGGAUACUUAAAAAAAGUCAAAACCAUUUUUCUUAUAUUUUAAAACUUUGCGGAAAAAUUUAUCCUUACAAUCCAUAUGGAAAACUUGUUGUUAUCUAUUCCUAAGCAAUAUAUCAUAACUCUUAAGUAACAACUCAAAAUUCUGAUCACCGAACCAUGCGAUCGAAAUCCAUCUUCGCGAUCAGAAUCAGCAUAUACUUCCUUUAAGUGUCUUCACUUUUUCUUUGAUUCUUAAAACAUCAACAUGUGACCUCGUCACAUUAUGCAAUAAGAAUCUCAGAAUAGAAACUUAAUAGAGUUAGACAAUGGACUUUACCUGAAGUAGAGUCAAACCUAUUGACUUUACCAUCCUUAAGAUGUUUCAGGUAAAUUUAGCAGCUUCGCAACCAAUGUCUUUCCUUUGGCAACAGAAUCUUAUGGACUCUUUGGAAACGGUACAUGGGACUAUCACAGACUUAACCUUUCUCUUUACCAUUUGGUCAACCGAGUUGACUAUGGCCGAUCCCUUUCCAUUGGGAAGAGAAAGUUUUUCCUGGACCUCCAAUGUCAAUGUCCAAAUAGGUUUGGAAAGUAGAUCUUCCAAUCCAAUUUACUUUACAAAUGCUCCAAAUCACUGCUGAUUUAGUAUCAUCUAGCAAAUAGGUAAGAUCAUUAAGGUUGUUGUCGCGACCUGUCAUCAGGGNCUAGAUUGCCUUGAUAAGACUUUAUCAAAUCAUACACCUGGAGUCUAAACCUUUCCUUAGAUAGCUCACAUGUGAGUCUAAACCUUUGCCAUUCUCAUUAGUUAGUGUGCCGGUUAACCACACACGCUCCACUAACGACAUGAGAAUGCAAACUUCACACUUGCUAUCCACUUAAAUCUACUUAGUGAAAGAGUUUCCUCACUAUCAUUUUCAUGAAUCUGAGAGAAACCUUAUGACACUUAGAUUUUGAUGGUGUAUGUGUUCCUAUCCAUGUAAAUUUGAAAUAACCAUAAUCACACGACAAGGUUAGUGACAAAUCCAAAUUCAUAUGGACAGAACUUGUGCAGUCUUAAUUUCUUGCCACCUGGUAGCACAAGGGCCUGCCAUUGCUUCCAAGUUGUUAUGCAACCAGUUGAGAACUCUCAGAACUCCAAUGCAAAACCAACUUUAACUGGAAUGGGCACAGAAUAUGUCAACACGAUAGGUUACAAACCUCAAGUCGUGGUCUAGUGAUUAACAAAACUCUUGAUUAGUUCUUGAAUCUAUCUUAAGAUCCUUUUAAGACUCCCACUGACCUCUUGACAUAUAAGAUUCUCUUUGUCAAGAACCAUUCCUUGACAAAAACGAAUAUUCAAGAGUUAGUGCAGAUUCUUAUCAAGUUAAACACUUCUCACAAUUGGUCUUAGUUGGUCUUUGUUUUAUCCAAAACAUCACAACUUACCAAUUUCAAAUGUACAAGAGUAAGAACACAUUUUACUCUACAUUUAACAAGUGUUUUAAACCUUUAUUAAGAUUAUGUCACUCAAGGCUUAACUUGGAGUAUGACUCUAAGAUUUAAUUUUGGAACAAAGUAUAAUUUAUCUUUUGAUCUAACCAUUUCAACAAUUCACGAUUCCUCUCCUUAGUCAAACAAAAUGAAGUAAGGUGUCCUCAGAGGAUCAAUUGUGACAUGGUUUCAUAAUCACAAUGAUAAUCAUAAAACAAGAUACUCAAGUACUUUCCCAUCUCUUCAAAUUAGAAAAACUUUUAUCUUUCUGCCUUAUUUGAUUCUUCUUACUCAUUAUGUCUAUCAUUGAAACUUCUCCAAUGAUCCAGAACUAUACUUAAACUUGUAAGUAUAACCAUAUUUACUAAACUUUAGUAAAUCAUAAUGAAUAAUCUUAUCAACUUUGUGGUGGACUUGAUCAGUGCACACCCAAGUGUAUCCGAUCCCUUUGUCCUUCACUUGAUUCACAUAUACAUGUGAACAAGGAAUUAGACUUAAUUUCCCAAAUAUAUAAAAAAUUCUCAUGAUCAUACAAUACAAGUUGCAUGAUUCCAAGUUUCUAUCCAUCUGAAACUUGGGUGAUGAGAAUCUUUCCUUAUUUGGUAAAUUAUGUCACUUCCACUAAUGAAAGAAUCAAAUCCAUU